rnacentral:lncRNA from 1 species
UUGCAAAUCUAGAGCACAUAUAGCGCGAUUUUCUCUCAUAAUUUACAUUGAUAUAACACAUAUUAUGUUCUUACCUUGCCCAAACAUUCGGGAUUUAAUUGAUGAUGUAAAAGACGUUUUUAAAUGUAGAAUAAGAAAGAUGGAAAACCUCCAAGCCAAAUUAUACACAAGAUAUACAAAUUAUACACAAAAAUUUCAAAUUUCAAUUUUCUCGAGAGUAUUCUUAAAUGAUCAAUCAAUGAUUCAAUAUAAUCACAAUCUCAAAAUCAUAAACUUUAUUUAUUUUCAAAUCUAGAGCACAUAUAGCGGGAGGAGAUUGUCUCGUGUGAUUUUUCUCUCAUGUGUAAUCCAGACCCUCCAUUAAAUAUGUGAGAUAAUGUGUUUGUAAUAUAAAAUGACCGAACGCAAGAUAAAUUGUUUUUUUCUAAACAAUAAAUUUUAUUCAUAAGCAUUCCCGUGAGCUUAGCUCAGUUGGUACGGAUAUUGCAUUUUAUAUGCAGGGGCUGAGGUUCGAACCCCAGACACCCCACUUCUCCACAAUUAAAUUGUGUGAGCUCUAACCACUAGACUACUUGACCAAGAAAAAAAGAAAUAUUCAUAAACUAACCCAACACAACACAAGAAGUGAAGAGGCUAUAGAGGAAAGACACAGGGUAACAAUACAUAAAGACAACUAAACCAAGGCUAAAAAGCCACAACACAUGUAAAUGGCUUAUCACAGCAGAAAACAAGGUAUAUCAAUAUCAUGUGUGACUACAAAACCGCCCAAACAACCCUUAAUACAAUAGAAUCACAGCAGAAAACACCCUUAGUAGAUAUUGAUAUGCCUUGCCGCGUUGAUGUUUUAGAAAUGUGCAGGUGGAGGGCAAUUACUGGGUCGGUUAUGCCCGUUUUUCCUCGAGCAGGGAUUUAAUGAGGGCUUUUGGGAUGGUUUAGGACGAGGGAAAGGUACUGGUUUGGAUGGAGUGAAAUGGGGUAAAUGCUUUAUGAUUCCUGGAGGGAGAUGUAUGGCAUCAACAGCAAAAUGUUGAGGAACAAACAUAAGAGCAGCAAGGAAUAACACUAAUAAGGAUAAGAAAAAGGAUUUAGCCAUUUUAAGAAGUGAUAUAAUUAUUAGUGUUGGUGCAUAAUACAUAGGGAGUUAAACUGGUUUUAUACUAGUUAGAGACUCAAUGUGAGUCUAUCGUCAAUCAAAGUUAAAAUUGUGCACGAAUUGAAUUAUUCAACAAUGUUACAAGUUCCAUGUAUUUGAUACUAGCUGAUGAUCAUUUAGUAUUAUUGGCUCUAUCUCUCCACUUGUUUGCGCACAUGGUUUACCUGAAAAAACAGUGUACUGGAGGUGCAACUUGUUUUAAUAGCAUUUUUUGUUGAGCACAUCAUGAGACAACACCGACAUCCUAACUAGAUUAGUAUUUCAGGACGCCUCCGUCCUAUGCCUGCCAAUCUCUAAAUUUUAUUAAAAAAGGGUAAAAAUAUAUACAAGGAGAGUGAGGACUAGGCCAAAAUCCUCAAUGAAAAAACCAAAGGAAACAAUAAAAAAUAAAGCCUACUGAAAUCUAUAAUUGGGUGAGCCAAUUCUGUCUCUAUAGAAGUCGAAAUGCAACUCUGCACGAAGCGUGUCUAACCAAACAGAACCCUGAAUAUCAUGACCCUCGGACAUUCCAAUAUAACAUCAUUGGGAAGAUGGAGGAAGACCACUCUUUCCAAGGAUUUGAUAAUGCGGCUUUCCGAAGACUUACUUCUUCAUAUUUAACGCGGCUUUUUUGAGAGAACUUGCGUAAAUCCUUUCUUUACGGCCCGUUGAUCGUAUUCUUUGAUUCUGGCCCAUAAAUCCAAGUCAUUCUGUACGUUUUUGCUAGUGUUUUAAUAACAUUAAUAUAUAGAUAUUACUAUUUAUAUAUGCAUUGAACCUGUAUGAUUUAUUUAUAAAAAUUCCAAAUAAAUUACUUUAUUUGUCAUUUAUGCUUGAACAUAAAAAUACAAAACAUUGUUUUUUCUCAUUAAAAAAUUUAAUUAAUUUAUAAAGCUUUUUAAUAAAUUAGUGUUUACCAAAUUGCACUCAUUAAUUCUUAAUUAUUGAAUGAUUGUAAACUCAUUUUAGAACCUCCAAAAAUGAAGAAAGCUCAUUCUUAGGACAACACAAAAUGGAAAACACUCAAGAUUGUUGGCAUAUUGGUAGACUAUUUCUAUCUGACAAAUUCAAUAAGCUAGUUUAUAGUUUAUAAGUCCGAAUGAUUAAAAAAUGUAUGUUUCAUAACCGUUUUUUCAUCACAAGUUUUAUAGUUUAUUUUAUUAGUUUGUAGCUUAUUUUUUAGACGUUAUUUUAAAUAACGUUUGAGAUUAUAGUUUAUCAUUUUUAUUUGUGUUUACCUUUAUUAUUCUGUUUAAGAUUUAUUUUUAUCCUUCAUAAUCUAUACUACUACCGUUUAUUCUGUUUGACAUUAUAGUUUAUUUUUAUUUGUAGUAUAUAUAAAGAAAAUAGGGGGAUGUUAGGCUAGCUUUUUUGUUACUCUAAUUAUACCCUAAAAUAAAUAAAAAGUCAAAUAAUAUUAUAUUGUUGGUGUUAUUAAAAAGAUAAGAAUUUUUGUUAUAUUAUUGUUGUCAUUGAGAAAGAUAAAUAUGGUUUAUUGAGUUUGUUACAUUUGAAAGUCACAUAUAUUUAUACUUGUAAUUUUAAUCUAUAUCAAAGAGUUUUUAUAAAAUAUAGGUUGUAAUUUACACGCAGAAUUUCUAUAAAUUAUCGUAGAUAAUCUAUACACGUUAACGUAGUAAAAAGAGAAGAAAGAUGCGCACGUGAGUGCCCGUCUUUUCACUAGUUUAUUAUAAAGAAAAUGUUAAAAUGUUCAAUUAUUUUGGUCAUACUGCACGAAUUAUUUGGUAGCCUGGCAUAUAUGUUACUAAUGUUAAUUUCACUCUCACUUUAAUUAUGUUACUCCACAGUCCUCUAAAAUCGUGUUUCUCUUUUUGCCCUAAAACUUCUCUUUUAUGUUACUCCACAAUCCUCUAAAAUCGUGUUUCUCUUUUUGCCCUAAAACUUCUCUUUUUGAUUAUUCAAUCCGAAUCAAGUUGAUCUGGUUUGGAUUAUAUAAUUUGAACUGCUUUUAUAUAUGUUGUUUCUUUAUUUUGUGGAUAUUUGUUAAUUGUUUGUACAUCUGAUUUUAACACUUUCAAAUAUUGACCGCAUGGGCUGUGUUAGGAACGAUAGAAUUUCCUUGACUGCAUCUUCUAGGUGAGAGCGUAUGUAGAAGAAUGUAGUGGAAAGGAGAGUGGUCAAGGGCAUGGGCAUGGGCCGCAAUGCUGAGACGCAGAGAGGUCGUCAGUUCCUAGACAUUAGUGGACAGUUACGGCGCAUCGAGGAACAUGUCAGAAGUAUUUAACUUUUUUAGUGAAGAUUUUUUUAAUUUAGAAUUUUUAAAGAGUGUCUCGAAAACACUCAUUAGCAAGACUGAUAAGUUGUAGUUUAUGGUGUUUUUAUCAUUUAAAUUCAAUAAUAUGUACGUUGUUUUAGUUUUAAUUUAGAUUCAUUUUACUGGAAAACAUUAGUUUUUAUUUUCAUAAUCAAAAUUAUGAAGAACAUUAUACCUAGAUUAAGAGCGAGGAAAAAGAGCCAUGAAAGAGCCAUAAAGCAGCAGCACGGAUGGUCCGUGGUUCCAUCUAGGUCGUGGAGUUCUUAAAAUGUCAAAAUUUCAAAAGUUGAAGUACAAGCACAACCGUGUGCCCCAACACGGUAGAAACAAGCAUGAUUGUGCACUUCAGAAGCACGACUUUUGCACCCCUCAAAACACAACAAAAUGUCAAAAGUUGGAAAGGUGAGCAUGACCGUGCACCCUUGAAGCACGACCGUGAGUCUUGUGCAGAGAAAAAUAGUUGUUACAACCUCUUAAAGUUCUUUGGUUCAUGGCUUGUAACUUGUUUUUAAUAUAUUUGUCUGAGGCUCUAGGCUAUAAAUAUACCUCACUUCUAAGGAAAAAAGAAUCUUAGAUACUUGUAAACUUACUCUAAAGUUGAAAGCAUAAUUUUGCAAUGUUUUAAGUUCUUUGUUCUUUAUUUUUCAUUUCUUUACAUUUGUAUUCUUUACUUUUCUGUUCUUUACAUUUUCAGUAUUUUAUCUUCAUGUCUUUAUAUUUUAAUCACAUGUCUAUUAUGAUCAUAUGUUAGUAAACAAACUAUUCUAGUCUUGGAAUUGUUAGAAUAAUCAAUCUAAUGAUUGAAUGUUAAUCAACCCAAGUCUAGACUCUAUUUUAUAAGAAUCCAUUUUAUAAUCUAAUAUCAUCGUUACUAAAUUUUAUUUUAUAAUCUAAUAUCAUUGUUAUGAAAUUUUAUAACAAGUAUCAAACAAAGAACUGAGAGUUGAUGUUUGAUAUUGUUAUUUAAUCAUGUCUAAGAUAUCAAACGAAGGACCGAGAGGUGAAAUUUGAUAUUGGAAUAAAUGAGAUUGUAAGAGAUAAGCAAAAUAUGAAAAUAAUUUUAUGACUCUUAGGACAAUAAGGUUAUAAGGUUGCACUCGAAAAGUUUCAAUGAUAAUCAACUAUGAGAAUAGGUUUAAUUACUGUUGAGAUACAUACAUUCAUGUAAUCUGAUAGGAAACUGAUAGAAUAUGUGUUACUUAGUCAUGUAAUUUGUAUUAUUAAAAGAAUAUUAAUACGUAUUCAUUGUGUUAAUUAGUCAUUCAUUUUGUAUUCAUUAGUCAUUAAGAGAAUGAUAACAAUUUGAUGUAUAUAAUGCACUCAGAUUAUCAAUGAAAAUCAUUCAGCUAUUUUCCUAUAUGGUAUCAGCUAGGUUUUAGAUCCUCUCCUACUUCUUCUAGCCGCCCACCACCACCUUUUCUUCCCUAUACUUCCGUUAUAAACCGCCAUCCAUGGCUACCUCAACAACAGCUGAAUCAACCACUCUCUCAACAAAUUCCUCUCCCGUGACAGACACAUUUGUCUCAACGGCACCAUCAUCAAAAAUUCACUCGGCCUUCACUAUCAACAACGUGAAGUCUAUCAUUCCCGUAACCUUGCACAAUGGCAGAAUGCUUUUCAUUGAUAAUCUGAGUGCAUUAUAUACAUCAAUUUGUUAUCAUUCUCUUAAUGACUAAUGAAUACAAAAUGAAUGACUAAUUAAUAUAAAUGAAUACCUAUUAAUAUUCUUUUAAUAAUACAAAUUACAUGACUAAGUAACACAUAUUCUAUCACUCCCACGCAGUUGAUGCGGGAGGUUGUCGGACGCUGAGUCUGUCCCUAAAAUCUUGAAAUAAAACCAAUGGGAGACCCUUAGUGAAGAUAUCUACAAUUUGAUAGCGUGAUGGAACAUGUAGGACACGGAUGUCUCCACGAGCUACUUUUUCACAAACAAAAUGAAUGUCCAUUUCGAUAUGUUUUGUGCGUUGGUGCUGGACGGGAUUUCGGAUAGAUAUAUGGCACUAACAUCCUUAUUAUCUAAUCCUAAACUACAAUGCACACAACAAUUGCAAAACCCUAAUCCUUGGUUUUGAGCGGGAAAAUUGUGAUUUAACCACAUUUAAUGGCAUUUUUGAAUUUCAAAUCAUGUACCCUUUUGAAAUGUGUGCAUAUGUGCCUAAUUAAUGCAGAUUUUGAAAUUCAAAUAUCCCACCACUUGGAAUUGUGCUCGCUUCUUUCCAAGACAUGCAGUUACCCACUUCUCAAUGCAAAAGCAUCUGAACCAAACAAACCUAUUUCCUUGCAUUUUGCUCUUUCUCCCUCUCUCUCACUCCCCUCUCACGCCCAUUUUUCUCUAAUCAGAAAAGGUCAACGAUUUUCAGUCCCUCUUCUCUUCUCUCUCACUCCAGUUUUCUCUCAAAAAAAAGCCUCUUCUCUUCUCCCACGUUAUUUUUUUCUUCAUUUUCUAACAUUCUUCUUCAAUUCUCCAUCUCUCUCUCUCAUUGUUUCUCGCGUAGCUCUUCGUGUCUUAGUUUGGGUGUUCUCUUCAUCGCCGGUCAGCCUCACCAAGGCAAUAAGCAUCUUCAAGUUUUAUUGAAAGAGAAUGCUUCUAUGCAACAAAAUUUUCAAGACCUUCGAUCCCUCGGUAUGCGUUUUCAGUUUCGUUACGUUUUGAUUGAUUUUGAUUUCGCGAUUAGGAUUUUGGUAUCACCGGUGUUGUUUUGAUUGAUUUUUCCGAUUUGAUAGGAAAGGAGCUUGAAGAAGGUGGAGUUCUCAGUGAAUCGGCACUGUCGCGGAAGGUUUUUCUUUUCAUCAACGAUCUUCUCUCUCAUUCUCUCUCAUUCGCUGCUCUUCUACUAAGCUUUGAUUGUGGAACGUAUGAAGGCAGAGUGACAUCUGAUAACGAUCAGAAUCAAGGCUACUAAGCUUAGAUUAUGGCUUCUAGGGGCAGAGGAAAAUGAGGAAGAAAAAGCACCAUCAAUUACAAUCUGCUCUACAUGUAUAAUGUUUUCCGUAUUCGAAUUAUUUCAAAUUGCAAGUAAUUUAAAUUGAGUUUUAAGGUAGUUUUCUUUGACUGCAAGUAUAAGGGGCUUAUUUCACAAGGUUAUACUUAGAUGUGUAUAUUCACUAUUGAAGCUUAUUUUGAGUUUCCGUGAUGACUUACUUUAUCGAAAUCACGGUGUGCCGCCGCGAUUUAGAAAAAGUUAUAGGGUGCAGCUUUUACAAUAACUAAAAAUUAACUAAUGAUUUGCCUGAAGUUUCUAAUUCUUUUUAUUGGUCCGAUUACAGUCCCUCUCUGAUGAUUUUCUACAACUAUCAGAUUUGAUUGAAUCAACUAAGGUUAAUUAUUUUGUCCAUAAUUUUUGCAAGAUAACUCUUCAGUCUACUGUUUUAGGUCAAAAUUAAUUUAUUUUGUGUAUAGAACAAUAGUUAUGCAGACCACCCAUUUCAAUAGGAUAAUGUCAAAAUUAAUUUAUGCAGACCAUCCAUUUCAAUAAUCAAUAAUGUUUUUUUGGGUUUGUUUGUAUAAUAGCAGGUUUUUUAAGAUUUGUUUUGUGUAUAAUGUGUCAUUUCACUCCACGUAGCCAAUCUUAGUGUUUGUUCAUGAAUAGAAAGUGGCUCAUAAAACAAUUUAAGGGUUCGAUUGUUCUAUAUUAUCUUUGCUCAUCUCUCUUAGUGUUUGAAAUUAGUUCAAAGAGUGGUCUAAAAAUUCUGCUAACAUAUGAGGAUGACGCUUGCAUUGAUAGUUUUUUUUUUUAAAAAAAAAAAAAAAAUCGCAUUGUAUACACAUAAAUUCCUUGAAAUAUAAUUGUAUACACAACGUACACUACAUACGAGGUCAACUUUACGUCGCAAUAUCCAAGGUGACCUCCAGGAAUGGGUUGAAGAUUUUAAUGAAUGAUGAUAAUAGUAAUAGCAUGAAUAGCACUUCAAAUGUAGUUAUAAGGAGAUUUUCUGCAAUCUACCGAUUUAAGGUCUUUUUUAAUGUAUUUUUUUUAGAAACAAUUUAUUUUGUACCGCAAGCAUAUUUAAUUUCAAUACAUUUUGUAAUAGCAUAUUUUAUUUUGUACAGCACGGGUGGAUGGUCUAGUUAUCACAAUAAACUAAACUAGCCUUGUGAAUGGGGAAAUGUAAUUCCAAAAGCAAGUUUCAUAACCAACAAGAUUCAGAAACCGCAUUGGAACCCCUCGAUAUUCUGCUUCAGCACUUGAACGAGAUAAAGUAGGUUGUCGUUUGGAAGACCAUGAGAGUAAGUUGUCACCAAGAGAUACACAGCAACCAGAGGUGGAUCGUCAGGUAUCUAGGCAACUUCCCCAAUCUGCAUUGUGUAAACAAUCAAUGAUGAUGUAGAAGAAGAGUAAAGUUGCAGUCCAUACUCGCGUGUGCCCUGAAUAUAUCUCAGGAUGCGUCAAAGGGUGUGCAUGUGAUCAUCCAUUGGAUUGUGCAUAAAUAAACAUAUUUGUUGCACUGCAUAAGAAAUGCCAGGCCUUGUGAAGGUGAGGUAUUGUAGGGCGCCAGCAAGGCUGCGAUAUAGAGAAAGGUCUUCAAAUGGGGUGCUAGUUUUGGCUCUCAUCUUUGGUUUAGUAUCAACCGUUGUAGGACAUGGUUUACAAGAAGCCAUUCCAGCACGAUCAAUAAUUUCUUCUGCAUAUUUUUUCUGAGACAAAAAUAAGCCACCAGGAUGACGUGUGACAGCAAUACCCAAAAAAUAAUUCAACAAUCCCAAAUCUUUCAUAGCAAACUCGGAACUAAGGAGUGAUAUGAUAGACUUUCAAAGGUCGUCAGAGGAAGAGGAAGCAGUAAGAAUGAUAUCAUCUACAUACAGUAUGAGGUAGGCCAAAAGGUGGGUUUUUCCUAUAUGGUAUCAGAAAAACUCUGCUUCCCGGAACUCUGGCAGAGGUGGUCGAAAUGGUACUGGUAAUUAUUGAUCUAUAACAAUAACCAUAUACGAAGACUACCUCAAAAAAAAAAAAAAAAAAAACGUACGAAGGAGAAUCAACCAUCUGGAUAAUACAUAUCCUUAUUUUAUUUAUUUGAAUUUGAAUGGCAACCACCAAAGCCACAUAUAGAAAGAAUAUUUUCCUACCAAUCGUACAUGAUGCCCAUAACAAAAGAUAGGUUCCAUAAUAUGGCCCCAUAAUAUCCUUAUCCUUAUAAUUAUGGUUCAGAAAAUAAAAAACCUCGUUAAGUUUUAGGAUUAUUUUAAGUUGAUAAAUAUUAACGAGUAUCUUCAGAGCAUUUUUCAAACAUCUAAAGUGGUAAGAUUUUAUGAAAGUUGAGCAUUUAUUAUAUUGGAAAUUGAAGUCUUUACAUUUCUUUUAAAAAUAAUUUUUUCAUUAUAAAUGCUUAAAAGGUGCUCCAUGGACAUUCAUUAACAGGACUCUUUUAAAUUUUAGAAUGUUAGCAUUUCCCUAAAACACAUGUUAAAGAUAGAGAUAUAUUAUGGCCUCUCACGGUAGCACCCGCCUACGUAGCGAGUUUAUGGUCAAUCUAAGUCAUUUACUAAAUGUCAAAAUUAUGUAUGAAUUGAAUUAUUCAACAAUGUUACAAGCUCCAUGUAUUUGCUACUAGUUGAUGAUCACUAACUAUCCUUUCAUUUUCCAUACAACUAGACCAUUUUUUUUUAGUAUUAUUUGCUCUAUCUCUCCACUUGUUUCCACAAAUAUGAUUAAUUUUUUUCGAAAAUUUUGUUUUUUUAAAUAUGAUAUUAUGGAAAACAAAAUUCGAAAAUUUGAAUAUAUAUUAAUCUUUUCCACAAUUUUUUUAAAUAUUUCCCGAUUAUUUUUAUAAUUUUUCCAGAUUUUUUUCAUUAUUUUUUAUUUUACCAGAUUUUUUUAAUCAUUAUUAAUUUUUACAUUUUUUUUUUAAAUUUUUCAGUAUUUUUUUUAAUCAUUAUUCGUUUUUUAAAUUUUUUUAUUUUUAUUUUAAAAAAAUCACAAAUGCCACGUGGCGUUCAUUUACACGCGUGGCAUGAAAAAAAUUAAACAAAAAAAAAUUGACACGUCACUGCCACGUAGUAGAUUCUGCCGACACAUUGAGGUGAGGGGUCAAUCCUGAAGAAUCUUCAUUUUUCAAGGGUGGAAUCUAAAAAAAAAAAAUUACAGGGGCUAAAACCAAAAGUGCAUUAUAUUACAAAGGCCAAAAACACUAUUAACACUAUAUUAUUACUUCUUCUUUUUUAUAAAAAUCCAAAUAAAAAUCAUUUGCAUUGCAGCCAAUUGGCCAAAUGCAACAUGACAAGCGCAAAAUUGCUCCAUGUUGACUUGUGAGAACUCUUGUUCUAGAUAGAGAACCUUAUAGUUUUUGUUGUCACAGAAAAUGUUAAACAACUUUUUCCAUGCAAUUUAUGCGUCUGAAUCGCGCUUGAUGAUGGUGAUGAGAAUAUAUUCUGAGGUGGUGUCAUAUAUCCAUUAUAAUACGACAACAUCAAAAAGCGGCCAAAGAUUGGGAUUGAUUUCUUUGAGAGAGGGAGUUGUUGGCUUAUUAGUGGGUGAGGGAGGAAUGAUGUGAUGAAAGACUUGAUGAACCCUUGCAUGAAUUUUAAAGAGUUCGAACCACGUAUUAUAUUGGACCCUUUUUUAUACUAAACGUAACCUUGAUGAAAUUGGUGAUAAUUGAAAAUGGUGGUAGAGGGAUGGAUAGGUGUGGAAGGAGUUGGGGUUGAAAUUGUCCUUCGAGUGGUAGUAUUUUUGGGGAUGAUUCGGCCCUGAUGGUGAAUGAAGGAGAAGAGGAACGAUGGCGCUGUAUUAGGUUUACGAGAGAAGGAUGAGUACCAACAACUUACUGAUACCAUGUAAGAAUUAUAAUAAGAUAAUUAUUAGUCGUGUGUCAUUUGCAUUGAGAGGAUCCGUUGACACUAGGUGUCAAACUUUAGUUUGACAUCAAAUCUCAACCGUCUAUUAUGUCUAAUCUAAUGGUCUGUGAUUAUUUAUUAAAUUAACUUGUGUGAUCUUUUUCCCAUGUCUCACCUGAUCCCACGCCGGCUGUUCUGCUCCAUCUCCUUCAACUUAUCAAAGUUAAUAUGGCCAACAAUCAAAUACACACACAAAUUAAUUCUUUUUUUUUUUUAAAGAAGAAGAAGCUAAAUUAGCCCACACAAAUUGGCACCGGAGAGAAUCGAUCCUGAGACCUCGAGGAGGAGCACACUCCCAGAUCCCAAGUCAAUACCACCAGACCAACCCAAAUGAUAAAUAAGGAGUUAAUUCUAAAUAAGGAGUUAUACAUAUAAUUACAUAUUGUUGACAUUAAUUGUUCUCUGUGGGGCAAGAUACUUGAGGUGUAAGUUUCAUAAGAUGCAAGUUCUUUUAAGUCUAAAUUGUCUUAUACUUACAUUAUUUUAGGUCUAAAUUUCAGAAACCAUUAUCACAAAUUUUUUGACAAUCUUAUCUCACAUACUCGUACUAUAUUUUUACUUCUCUUUUUGUUGUUUUGGUUUUUGUUUUCAUACCUAAUUUUCCUUGUAAAUCUAUAGUUGUCUCAUAAAUUAUCGUUAAAAUUGUUGUUCAAAUAACACAACUCCUAUUUCUAAUACUCAAAAUUUGUUCAAAUUAAGUUUUUAAAGAACUUCUAAUAAAAUCAGAUUAAGUUUUUUUGAACUUUCUAAAUACUUAAAUUGAAUUUUCUCGAAUAUACAUCUUGGAGAAAGAAAAAAAAUAAUUAUAGGAGGGAGAUGCAAAACUUACGUUUUCUUUCACUAGAAACAUAUUUUGAGUUUUCAAUAUCAUCAAAAUCAUAAACUUUAUUUAUUUGCAAAUCUAGAGCACAUAUAGCACGAUUUUCUCUCAUAAUUUACAUUGAUAUAACACAUAUUAUGUUCUUACCUUGCCCAAACAUUCGGGAUUUAAUUGAUAAUGUAAAAGAUGUUUUCAAAUGUAGAAUAAGAAAGAUGGAAAACCUCCAAGCCAAAUUAUACACAAGAAUAUAAAACAAAGCAUUUACUUGGUAGAUAAUAUUUUCUUUUUAAACAGCAAAUUUUAUUCAUAAUAAGAUAACCUAACACAAGAAGUGAAGAGGCUAUAGGGGAAAGACACAAGGUAACAAUACAUAAAGACAACUAAACCAAUGCUAAAAAUCCACAUCACAAAACCACCCAAACAACCCUUAAUACAAUAUAAUCACAGCAGAAAAACCUUAACCAAAUCAAGCAAACACACCCAGACCUUCCCCUAACACAAAAUCAAACCAGUUUCCAUCAACACCACAUCAAUAGACCCCUUAAAUAAUUGAACAAAAACCAGCCACCUAAACUUCCUGGUACCAGUAAAUUACAAUUACUUAGUAGAUAUUGAUAUGUCUUGUUGCAUUGAUGUUUCAGAAAUGUGUGGCUGGAGGGCAAUCUUUGGGUCGUAACUUCCACAAUAUCUUCGAGCAGCGAUUGAUUUUGGGAGUUUUGAAUUUUGGGAAGGCAGCAUCAACAGCAAAAUGUUGAGGAGCAAGCAUAAAAGCAGCAAGGAAUAACACUAAUAAGGAUAAGAAAAAGGAAUUAGCCAUUUUAAGAAGUGAUAUUAUUAUUGUGUUGGUGCAUAAUACAUAUGGAGUUAACUGGCUUUAUACUAGUUAGAGACUCAAUGUGAGUUUAUGGUCAAUCUAAGUCAUUGUGUAUGAAUUCAAUCAUUCAACACGUAGGUUCCAUGCAUUUGGAAAACUAGUUGAUGAUUAAAAAUGUUCAAUAUAUUAGGCUAUGAAUUGUUUAUGAAUUGAAUUGUUGAUGAUUAAAACAGUGUACUGGAGGUGGAACAUGUUUUAAUAACAUUAAUAUGUAGAUAUUAUUAUUUAUGCAUUGAACCCUGUAUUGAUAAAAAUUCCACAUAGGUUACUUUAUUUGUCAUUUAUGCUUGAAUAUAAAAAUACAAAACAGUGUUUUUUCUUAUUAAAUUUUUUAAUUAAAUUAUAAAGAUUUUUAAUAACUUAGUGUUUACCAAUUGCACUCAUUAAUUCUUAAUUAUAGAAUGAUUAUCGUAAACUCAUUUUAGAUCCUCCAAAAAUGAAGAAAGCUCAUUCUUAGGACAACACAAAAGAGAAGAAACGCAAGAUUGUUGGCAUAUUGGUAGACUAUUUCUGUUUGACAAAUUCAAUAAGCUAGUUUAUAGUUUAUAAGUCCGAAUGAUUAAAAAAUGUAUGUUUCAUAACUGUUUUUUCAUCACUAGUUUUAUAGUUUAUUUUAUUAGUUUGUAGUUUAUUUUUUAGACGUUAUUCGAGAUUAUACUUUAUCAUUUUUAUUUGUGUUUACCUUUAUUAUUUUGAAUAAUUUUUAGGAUAAUUUCUAGUGUUGAUCUAAGUUGUUUUUCAUUGAAAAUCAAUCUAAUUCAUUGAAUUAGGAUUCAUAUAAUUUGCUUAGGUCAAUUGAUUGCAAAAUCAAUUCAAUUCUUCAAUUACACAUGUAUUGUGUUUUUUAUUUGAUAACUUAGUAAUUUUGUUCAGAUAGGUUUGGUUUGAAAUUGUCUAUUGUUUUGUACAUUGUUCAAAGAAUAUUAAAGUUUGAUUGUAUAAUAAGAUUUGUAUCGUGAAUCUCUCAAUUCUAAGAUUAAAUCUCAUUGCACAUAUAUUUGUCUUUUUCAUUCCUUGAUUGUCAUUGUUCGACCACGAAUCCCAUAGUCAAUUUUGUUGAGAGAGAGAGAGAGAGAGAGAGAGAGAGAGAGAUUGGAUGGACGAGUAAUAUUAGUGCAGAACACAUAGCAAAAGAGAAUCGAAAAAAGAGGAUCCCGAUCCUUUUCUAAAGGACAAUCAACCAUCUAUAUAACGACAAAUUUAAACCCAUCAUGUACAAAAAUAACGAUCAAGGUGAAAAUAUAAACGUAACAUUGAACUAUGUUAUUAAAUUAUAAUAAACUUCAAAGGGUAAAAUUGGUUUUUAGAUAAACAUAUAAGCCAAAUAAGGUUACAAGUUGUUUUUUUUUUUUUUUUGAAAGAAGGGUUACAAGUUAUAAGCUUGUGAAGAAAAGACGGUUAUCAAACACAACCUAUACAGCUCAUGAAGCUACCAUAAAAAAUUUAAUAGUGGGGAUGUUUAAUGAAGAUUGGUAGUACUGUAGUAGUGUUACGUUGAUCAUGGAGCUAUAGUUAUAAAUAAUUUUAAAGUGGGUUAUGUUUAUUGAAGAUAGGGAGAUCGAAGCGGAAAUGCUGGAAAAUGAUGAUGGAAAAAUAUAAAUCGGCGAUUUAUAUUUUAGUCCUUGUGAAAGUUAGAAUUUAAGUUUGAAGGGGUGCACGGGUAUUCAAGGAUCCGAAGAUUUUAAGAAGCACCAAAUUUAAGGUUUACUUGGAGUUUGAGGGAGUGUUUUACAUAGGAGUUGAAGAAUUAGGUUUUAAUUUCAAGGAACUCUUGUAAACAGAUUGUAUUCAACAUUUGUUAGACCAAGUACAAUGGCUUGUUGAAAGUGCCAUUCAACAUGUUGAAUCAUUGUAGUGGGGGGUGUUGAAAUUGAAAAAAAAAAAACUUAGUUGGAGGAAAGAGAUGAUGAACAAGUUUAACUAGCUGAAAGCCUGGCCCUCACAGACACGUGGCGCGACCCGAUUGCAUGAAACAGGCGAGUGCGAUGCACGCGACGACAGGGCGCAUGAGAGAUUGGAAGCGCAGAGAGAGAAAGAGAAAUGGAUAAAUGUUGUGACACUUGGCAUGUUUUGAUUGGCUGCUUGGAUUUUUAUCUUCUUAAUAAUUUGGACUCAAUUAUUUCAUUGUAAAUAAUUUUUUUUUACCAAAAUUCGUGAUUUUUUUUUCUCUAUAAAUAGAGACUUGGAUCAUUUGAUUUGGACACAGAAAAAAAAAAUCAAGUUUUUUCACUCUCUUAAUCUUAUUACUAGCUUUUCUUUAAAAGUUUAAGUCUGAAAUUGAUCCCAAUAACAAUCAAUUCAAUACCCAAAGUUCUUCAGAUUACCCAUCUAGCUACCAAAAUCCAAAUUAUUAUCAACACCCAAAUCAAUUUCUCAACCAACAUCCUUAAAACCCAAAUCAAUUCCCCAACCAACAUCCUCAAAACAUGCCUAAUUUUGGUUUUGCCUCAAAUUUCAAUCACUCAUCCUCUGUUCUAAACAACUUUUAUCCAUAUUAUAGAUCUAUGAUGGGAUAUCCAUCUCAAACACCCCAUUUAAUGGUUAUAUGCCAAUGGUGAAUGAAAAUUUUCAGAGUGUUAGUGAAUAUCCUGAAUUUUCAUCACAAAUAAAUAGUGGUGGAAUGACAAGAGCUAAUGAAGUCACUCCAAUUUCAGAGGAUACAACUCCUAAGAGCAAGAAAAACCAGCAACCAGGAACACUGAACAAAAUUUGGUGUUAAUUAGUGGGUGAAUAAAAUAUGGAACAUGCAUUGUUGUCGGGAGAAACCAGACAAGUGAAGCAUAUUGGGUUAAAAUUGUUGAGUAUUGUAAUGAGCAUCGCUCAUUCGAUUCUCCGCGCGACUCAGUUGCAUGCCGAAACCGUUUUAAUUAUAUGAGCAAAUUAAUAAAUAAAUGGGUUGGUGCUUAUGAUGGUGCUAAGCGUUUGCAAGGAAGCGGUUGGUCGAAAGAUGAUGUUUUGGAAAAAGCCCAUGAAUUAUAUGUGAAACACCCCGUUUUCCCAACUUGAAAUUUUUUGCAUAAAUCAGAGUAAAACAGCUAAACAGGAUGCUGCACUUCUUUCAAAUCUGAAUAUAGUAAAAUUACUAAUUAUCUCAAUCAUCAAAUUAAAUCUUAUUGCAGCGGAAAUUAGUUCAACGUUUAAAACAACCUUGGCACAAAGGCCUCAAUGUAAAAUCUCAUAAAAUUAUUCCAACAACAUGUUCAUAAAACUUCAUAAAAUAAUACGUAAGGAACGUAAAGCAACAACAAAAUUCUCAUCCCGUUACGUAUCAGAGCACCUAAGACACACGUGAGAGAAUCCACUCACGACCGCAACUAUUCUUGGUUACCUGCAAGUUACUCAAUUGUGAGGGCAACAUUUCCAAGCAGAAGGGGUGAGAUUUCACAUUCAAUAAUAAUAAGCAUAUAAUUCAUCAAAUUCAUUUAACAACUUAAACUUCAUCAAUUAGUAACACUAACUCUUCGCAUAAAUACUUCAUUAAUUAAUAACAUUAACUCUUCCUAUAAGACUUCAUUAAUAACUCAAUCAACUUCUAAUCAUCAUUAACUUCAUAUUCAUCACAUUAUAUACAACGUCAUACAACACGUAAUAAUCAAAUCAUAAACAUCAUCAUAUAAAAACCUAAUCAUCACAUCAUAAACAUCAUCUUAUAACAUCAUAUAGUUCACAUCAUAAACAUCAUCAUAUAACAACAUAAACAUCACAACAUAAACAUGAAAUAAGGUUAUAAGGUUGCACUCAAAAAGUUUUAGUGAUAGUCAACUAUGAGAAUAGGUCUAAUUACUGUUGAGAUACAUUCAUGUAAUCUUAUAGGAAACAUGAAAUACCAAAGAACAUCUUGUCCUUAGAAAUGAAUAGAGAAAUAGAUAUGGAAUGUUUAGGAUUUAACUUUAUGAUGAAAACCGCAAUCUCAUGACGCAUUUUUAUAUCUAAAUUUUAAUCAAAAAAAUAAUUGCACUUAAUCAAUUUAUUUUUUUCAGCUAAUCAAAACUAAAAAUUAGAUUAGUAUUUACUUAAAGUCCAUGUGAAUCGAUAUUUUACUAGAACCGUACACUUGCGUAAACCUAUCAAAGACCCUAUUGAUGUAUAUGGAAUCGUAGUUACCUAUCAAAGCUACAAAAAAAAUUAGAUCGGAAUUGGGGUCUUUCUGACCAUUCUUGAAGUCGAAGGGGGUUCGUUUACUGGAUGUAGCAUCGAAGGCUUGAGUGAAGAGUUCGAAGGGGUGCACGGGUAUUCAAGGAUCUGAAGAUUCAAGAAGCACCAAAUUUAAGGGUUACUUGGAGUUUGGGGGAGUGUUUUACAUAGGAGUUGAAGAAUUAGGUUUUAAUUUCAAGGAACUUUUGUAAACACAUUUGUAUUCAACUAUUAUAAAAAUAUCGGUGUUAUCUCUCUUUCCCUAUCCUCUUUACUUUUAGCUAUUGCAUGUGAUUAAUUGAAUAAUUUUUAGAAUAAUUGCUAGUGUUGAUCUAAGUUAUUUUUCAUUGAAAAUCAAUCUAAUUCAUUGAAUUAGGUUUCAUAUAAUUUGCUUAGAUCAAUUGAUUGAAAAAUCUAUUCAAUUCUUCAAUUACACAUGUAUUGUGUUUUUGAUUUGAUAACUUAGUAAUUUUGUUCAUGUAGGUUUUUGGUUUGAAAUUGUCUAUUGUUUUGUACAUUGUUCAAGGAAUAUUAAAGUUUGAUUGUAUAAUAAGAUUUGUAUCGUGAAUCUCUCAAUUCUAAGAUUAAGUCUCAUUGCACAUAUAUUUGACCUUUUGAUUCCUUGAUUGUCAUUGUUCGACCACGAAUCCAAUAGUCAAUUUUGUUGAGAGAGAGAGAGAGAGAGAGAGAUUGGAUGGACGGGUGAUAUUAGUGCAGAACACAGCAAAAGAGAAUCGAAAAAAGAGGAUCUUGAUCCUUUUCUAAAGGAGAAUCAACCAUCUAUAUAAUGACAAUUUUAAACCCAUCAAGUACAAAAAUAACGAGCAAGGUGAAAAUAUAAACGUAACAUUGAACUAUUUUAUUAAAUGAUAAUAAACUUCAAAGGGUAAAAUUGGUUUUUAGAUAAACAUAUAAGGGGUUACUAAAAAGGGUUACAAGUUUUUUUUUUUUUUUGAAAGAAGGGAUACAAAUUAUAAGCUUGCGAAGAAAAGACGGUUAUCAAACACAGCCUAUGCAGCUCAUGAAGCUGCCAUAAAAAUUUUAAUAGUGGGGGAUAUUUAAUGAAGAUUAGUAGUAGUGUUACGUUAUUCAUGGAGCUAUAGUUAUAAAUAAUUUUAAAGUGGGUAAUGUUUAUUGAAGAUAGGGAGAUCGAAGCGGAAAUGCUGAAAAAUGAUGAUGGAAAAAUAUAAAUCGAUAUUAUCUUUUAUUUUAGUCAGAAUUUAAAUUUGGUAUUUUUCAGUAUCCAUGUCGGCGAUUUUGACUAAUUUUGAUUAAGUAAACGUCUUAGUUGACUUCAAUGACUAAAGUAACUAAGAACAAAGAGUGAAUGAUUUAAUUCGGGUUUUAUCUAAGUCAUUGACCAAAAUUACAUCUUGUUACACUUUUAAGGAGAAAAAUGGUUGUUUUCCCAAUAAUGUUUUCCAAUAUUAAAUUAAUGUUGUUUUCUGCCUUAGGGAUGUUACCAAUUUGUUAUGUUGGAGUUACCUUUAGUGCUAAGAAACCUUUAGACCAAUAAAAAUAUUUUGAGUCCCUUUUAAAGUGGUAAAUACACUAAUAUAAAGUCAUUGUCAAUUGAUGUUAGGACUAUUUAUUAAGAAUGCAAUAUUUACUUGUUGUUCUUUGGUAGACACUUAGAGUUCAUUUUUGUGGACUGUAUGAACUUGGUUAUAUCAUAGUUAACGUCGUAUUAGACAAACGGAAAUGAAAGACUCAUCUCUCACUCUACUUAGGACUAGCCAAUUGUCAAACUUGGUUACAAUUUAUUUUGUUUGGAAAACUUAAUUUGAAUUUUCUACAAGUCAUGAAAAAUUCAAAUUUCUGUUUUCUGAUUAGAAGAUCAAUAAACGGUUCAAUAUCAUCACAAUCUCCAAAUCAUAACUUCAUUCAUUUGCAAAUCUAGAGCACAUAUAUCACGAUUUUCUAUCAUGAUUUGCAUUGAUAUAAGUAAGUAUAACACAUAUAUUUUACUCUUAACUUAGCCAUACAUUGCGGAUUUACUUAGUAGAUAGAGUAAUGUUUUUUUUUAAACAACAAAUUUUAUUCAUAAGCUAACCCAACACAAGAAGUGAAGAGGCUAGAGGAAACACACAAGACAACAGAUACAUAAAGACAACUAAACCACCCAAACAAUCCUUAAUACAAUAGAAUAACAUCAGAAAAACCAGCCACCUAAACUUCCUAGUACCAUGAAACAAUGUCAGGUCGCGUUGAUUUUUAGGCUGGAGGGCAAUGUUUGUUUCGGAAGUUCUCGACUUUCUUCAACAAAGGGUAGUGCUUUUUGCAGAAAUCGGGUAUAUGGGGUAUAUGUACUGGUUUAUCUUUUGGGAUUAAAUUUUUGAUUUUUGGGAUUAAUGCUUCAACUGCGGGACCAAAGCUAACAGCAUCAGCAAAAUGUUGUUGAGGAGCAAGCAUAAAAGCAGCAAGGAAUAACACUAAUAAGGAUAAGAAAAAUGAAUUAGCCAUUUUAAGAAGUGAUAUAAUUAUUAGUGUUGGUGCAUAAUACAUAUGGAGUAUACUGGUUUUAUACUAGUUAGAGACUCAAUGUGAGUUUAUGGUCAAUCUAAGUCAUGUACUAAAUGUCAAAAUUGUGUAUGAAUUGAAUUAUUCAACAAUGUUACAUGUUCCUUCCAUGUAUUUGCUACUAGUUGAUGAUCAGUCCCUACCUAUCCUUUAAUUUUCCACACAACAAGACCAUUCAGUAAUAUUGGCUCUAUCUCUCCACUUGUUUGCCCACCAUGGUUUAGCUGAAAAAACAGUGCAACUUGUUUCAAUAACAUUAAUAUAUAUAGAUAUUACUAUUUAUAUAUGCAUUGAACCCUGUAUGAUUUAUUUAUUUAUAAAAAUUCCAAAUAGGUUACUUUAUUUGUCAUUUAUGCUUGAAUAUGAAAAUACAAAACAGUGUUUUUUCUCAUUAAAAUUUUUACUAUAAAGAUUUUUAAUAACUUAGUGUUUACCAAUUGCACUUACUAAUUCUUAAUUAUAGAAUGAUGAUUAAAAAUUGUAUGUUUCAUAACUGUUUUUCAUCACAAGUUUAUAGUUCAUUUCUCAGACGUUAUUCCAAAUAACGUUUGAGAUUAUAGGUUAUCAUUUUAAUUUCAUGUUUACCUUUAUUAUUUUGUUUAAGAUUUAUUUUUAUCCUUUUUAAUAUAUACUAUUUAUAAAGAAAAUAUAGGGAUUUUGGGCUGACUUUUUUGUUAUUCCAAUUAUACCUUUAAAUAAAAAAAAAUCAAAUAAUGUGAUAUGGUUGGUGUUAAAUAAGAAUUUUUGUUAUAUUAUUGUUGUCAUUGAGAAUCAUAAAUAUUGUUUGUUGAGUUUGUUACAUUUGAAAGUCACAUAUCAUACUUUUAAUUUUUGUCCAUAUCAAAAAAUUUAUAUAAAAUAUCGUUUGUAAUUUACACGCAGAAUUUCAAUAAAUUAUCGUAAAUAAUUUAUACACAUUAACGUAAUAAAAAGAGCAGAAAGAUGAACAUGUGAAUGCUCGUCUUUAGUAAGUAAGAUUGUCUUAUAUACUUACAUUAUUUUAGGUCUAAAUUUCAGAAACCAUUAUUUGACAAUAUUUUUGACAAUUUUAUCUCACAUACUCACAUUAUAUUUUUACUUCUCUUUUUGUUGUUUUGGUUUUUAUUUUCAUACCUAAUUUUCCUUGUAAAUCUAUAGUUGUCUCAUAAAUUAUCGUUAAAAUUGUUGUUCAAAUAACACAACUCUUAUUUCUAAUACUCAAAAUUUGUUCAAAUUAAGUUUUUAAAGAACUUCUAAUAAAGUCAGAUUAAGGUUUUUUUGAACUUUUUAAAUACUUAAAUUGAAUUUUCUCCAAUAUACAUAUUAGAGAAAGAAAAAAAAUAAUGAUAGGAGGGAGAUGCAAAACUUAUGUUUUCUUUCUCUAGAAACAUAUUUUGAGUUUUCAAUAUCAUCAAAAUCUCAAAAUCAUAAACUUUAUUUAUUUGCAAAUCUAGAGCACAUAUAGCGCGAUUUUCUUUCAUAAUUUACAUUGAUAUAACACAUAUUAUGUUCUUACCUUGCCCAAACAUUCGGGAUUUAAUUGAUGAUGUAAAAGACGUUUUUAAAUGUAGAAUAAGAAAGAUGGAAAACCUCCAAGCCAAAUUAUACACAAGAUAUACAAAUUAUACACAAAAAUUUCAAAUUUCAAUUUUCUCGAGAGUAUUCUUAAAUGAUCAAUCAAUGAUUCAAUAUAAUCACAAUCUCAAAAUCAUAAACUUUAUUUAUUUUCAAAUCUAGAGCACAUAUAGCGGGAGGAGAUUGUCUCGUGUGAUUUUUCUCUCAUGUGUAAUCCAGACCCUCCAUUAAAUAUGUGAGAUAAUGUGUUUGUAAUAUAAAAUGACCGAACGCAAGAUAAAUUGUUUUUUUCUAAACAAUAAAUUUUAUUCAUAAGCAUUCCCGUGAGCUUAGCUCAGUUGGUACGGAUAUUGCAUUUUAUAUGCAGUGGCUGAGGUUCGAACCCCAGACACCCCACUUCUCCACAAUUAAAUUGUGUGAGCUCUAACCACUAGACUACUUGACCAAGAAAAAAGAAAUAUUCAUAAGCUAACCCAACACAACACAAGAAGUGAAGAGGCUAUAGAGGAAAGACACAGGGUAACAAUACAUAAAGACAGCUAAACCAAGGCUAAAAAGCCACAACACAUGUAAAUGGCUUAUCACAGCAGAAAACAAGGUAUAUCAAUAUCAUGUGUGACUACAAAACCGCCCAAACAACCCUUAAUACAAUAGAAUCACAGCAGAAAACACCCUUAGUAGAUAUUGAUAUGCCUUGCCGCGAUGAUGUUUUAGAAAUGUGCAGGUGGAGGGCAAUUACUGGGUCGGUUAUGCCCGUUUUUCCUCGAGCAGGGAUUUAAUGAGGGCUUUUGGGAUGGUUUAGGACGAGGGAAAGGUACUGGUUAGGAUGGAGUGAAAUGGGGUAAAUGCUUUAUGAUUCUUGGAGGGAGAUGUAUGGCAUCAACAGCAAAAUGUUGAGGAACAAACAUAAGAGCAGCAAGGAAUAACACUAAUAAGGAUAAGAAAAAGGAUUUAGCCAUUUUAAGAAGUGAUAUAAUUAUUAGUGUUGGUGCAUAAUACAUAGGGAGUUAAACUGGUUUUAUACUAGUUAGAGACUCAAUGUGAGUCUAUCGUCAAUCAAAGUUAAAAUUGUGCACGAAUUGAAUUAUUCAACAAUGUUACAAGUUCCAUGUAUUUGAUACUAGCUGAUGAUCAUUUAGUAUUAUUGGCUCUAUCUCUCCACUU